rnacentral:misc_RNA from 1 species
CUACAAUCUUUAGGAUGGUGUGUAAGCGAGGAAAUUUUUUUAUUGUAAAAUUGAACGUGCAAGAUGUCAUUUGAUAUAGCGAUUUUUUAUCAUCAAGUUCAUCUUUUUUAAUUUAUUGAUUGAUAGCGUUAUAAAAUGAGUGCCGAAUUGUUAGGAUUUCGAUCAAAGUUCAAUUAACGGUUAAAUGCAUAUUUCAUGACAGUUAACUUAUCAAGAAAUAUGCAGAGUGUUUUUUUCAACUGACUUUUGCAUAUGUUUAUCUUUCUUUUUUUUCUUUCUACGUUGAAGCUGUGCAAGAAGUUUAGUUGAAAAGAUUACAGACCAUUACAUCUUAUGUGUCAUAGAUAGGAUUAUUAACUUUAUUUGUAGUUUGACGCAUGUAGAAAAGAAAGAUUAGAUUAAGGCUCACGAAUUGUAUAAUGAGAAAUUAUAAGUAUUUGUACCGCGAUUGAAUAAUCACCGAUUAUUUUAAAUCAAACUUUAUCUUCACAUUAAAUUGUUAAUUUAAAAUCAAAUUUAACUCUUCGCCAGAGAUGAAAUUACGAAUUAAUCGAUCAUUAUCGAGGCACUAUCGAUCACGGACAAUUAUUGAAAAUUUGAAAUCGAUUAUUCGGACGACGUUAAUUUUUUUAAAUACAUUGCUCGUUUUGAACCUGCACUAUAUUAUAUGUAAUUAGCUAGAAUUUGUUUUUUACCGUAAUAUGGAAGAAAAGAUCACAUUAUGGAUAAAGCGUUAUUCGAGUAUGCGAGAUUUCGCCGGAUUGAUCUCGUUAAUCUCGGCGGGGGUCCAAGUCAAAAAGUCGCCCCCGAAGGGACACCGAUGUUGCGACUCUCCUCCGAACAGCGGCAGCACAAGGGACGCGACCCGGGAGGGCGAGAAGAAGGGCGGCGCGGGGGUGGAGGCGGGACGACGCACCGCGCCGGUCGAAACUGGGAACGUCAAAUCCGGGCGGGCGUCCAGGACGUUUAUCUCCAGCCGCCGCCUCUCCGCCUCGCGCCCUCGUUAUCGUCUCACUACGUGUCUUCUCCCUCGCCGUCUUCCCUCGCCGGUCUCUCUCUCUCGAAAAGGAAGCCCUUUUUUUUUCAAAUCCUUCCGCGAUCGACCCGCGUCGACAACAAUCGGAAAUUCUCGGGCUCAGGAUCAUCCGGCUGCGGCGAGUGCGCAUUUUUUGCAUUUUAUUAUCCUGCGGCUGCUCCAUAUCAGCGGGUACACUCCACUUCGCUUCGCUCAGCUUCUGCCCCGCCGCUGCAAAAGGUUUUCCAAGGCUCUCUCUCUCUACCCUACGUGCACUUGUUUUGCUGUCACGACGAAAGUGUGAUGACAAUUCGGUCGUCAAUUAAAUUCCAUCGUCGCCGAGAAAAUUGCGCAAGAAUACGGAAUCCGGAAUUUCUCGGUGUACCCGCAGAGGAGAGAUUCGCGAGCUGUGUUUUGCCGCGGGACAAUUGUUCGAGCGCGGUACGUCUCGAUCGUCUGUGCCUUUCGAAUUUUGCUGUCGCGCACUGUUCGUGAAAAAGAGAGAGAAAAAAAGACGACGUUGGUGAAUCUCCUGGAGAUACUGAGCUCUCUGGACGAUACGGCGCGCGUCAAUUGUAGUAGCUGAUGACCUGUUAUGUUUACCAGGUCGACGAUUUAAGCGGAUUAUUUUAUUCCGCAUGAGGCGGCGCCGACGGCCACACGACGAAGAAGUAGAGAAACGAAAAGGAGCUUUGAAUCAAACAUUUGUGACUGUAAAGGGCGCGGGCUGUUAAGUUGUUGACCUUAUCACGUUUGCUUGUACUUCAAAAUAUUUGUUAAAUUUUUGACUGUUAAGUCUAUUGAGAAACUCUCAUAGUUUCUUCGUUGAGCCGAAUGGAAUUUUGCAAUAUUAAUUUAUAAAAGAUUUUAAAGGAGAAAGAAGAUUAUUAUUCUCUCGGAAGUGAUAUUUUACGCUGUACAGGAAGGGCAAUAAGAAUAGAUAUACGCGAGGUGGAUGAUACGCAGGAACAAUGUUCAAGUGUUGCGGGUGUAAAAGCACGUCGAAGGACGCGGAUGACACGCCGGUCGGAUCGCCCAGGCUUUCCGUCAAGGAGGAAAUCGACGACGAGAUUAAAUCCGCGACGAGGGUAGACGUAGUGAAUGGCGAAGUGCAGAACUCGGAGAGGACAUCCUUGGUAGAGGAUAAGGACGUCUCGCCAGAGGAUAAGGACGUCUCGCUAGCGGAUAAGAUUACCUCGUUAGAGGAUAAGAAUGCCUCGUUAGAAGAGAAAAACAUCUCGCCAGAGGAUAAGGUCAUCUCGGUAGAGGAUAAGGACGCUUCGCUGGAAGAUAAAAAUGCCUCCCCAGAGGAUAAGGACGCUGCGCUAGAAGACAAGAACACCUUGUUGGAUAGAAAUGUCUUGCUAGAGAUUAAGAAAGCCUCGUUAGAAGAUAAAAUCACCUCGCUAGAGGAUAAUAUUGCCUCGCUAGUGGAUAAUAUCGCCUCGCUAGCUGAUAAUAUCACCUUGCUAGAGGAUAAGGUCAAGGUAGAGGACAAGGACGCUUUGUUAGAGGGUGCGCCACCAGAGGAUAAGGACGUCUCGCUAGAAGACAAGAACACCUUGCUAGAAGAUGAAGACACCUUGCUGGAGAAUAAGGACACCUCGCUAGAAAACAAGGACACCUUGCUAGAAGAUAAAGACGUCUCGUUGGAGGAUAAAAACGUCUUGCUAGAAGAUAAGAAUAUUUUACUAGAAGAGAAGAACGCCUUGUUAGAGGAUAAGAAUGUCUUGGUAGAGGAUAAGGAUGCCUUGCUGGAGGAUAAACACAUUUCGCCGGAGGAUAAGAAUGCCCCGGUGGAUUUUCACCCUUGGAUUUCUACCCCGCCGCCAGUUCCCGCCUUUUUCAUUCCGCAGAACGGAAGCACCGAUGUCGAGGAGAGCUCGAGUUCGACCUCGACGAAGAAAACGGUCGAGGAAGCCGGUGAAGAAAUCAGCGUUCGGAUCGUUGAUGACAUGGAUGAUACCAACCUCGAAGUCACCGAAGUUUGGACUGAGGAAGUCGAUUCUGUUAGUGCUAUUGGUCCCGUCAAAACAAAUCUUUACGACGACACGUCGGGAUAUAUAGAAAGGACGAUCGAUGACGGACCGGAAGAUGAGGGUGACGACUCGGUAUUCGAAGAUGAAAACAAGAUUGUCAAAAAGGCGCCACCAGUUCCACGUUGGCUGUCGGAGGAAGAUGACGGCGAAUACGUCUUGAGCGGAUGCAGCGGCAUGCAGGAACCGCCGGCGACGCCCGUCGCCCGCGACGAGUUAGCUUUAAGGCGGCACAGAUUUUUCUCCGAUCUGUUGCAAGCUGCGCAGAAUUCGACGGAACACCGAGUGAGAUUCGACCCGCUAGGACCGAUGGUGCACACCGGUAACGAAAGUACCGAUAAAGAAGAUCAUCUAGAGGAGUUGGUGAACCGAUUGGAAAACGUAACGAGACGACUCGAAAACGUACACUUUGGAGUAAAGACGCAAGACACCGCUGUACAAACGAACACACCUUCUCCGAAGAGAUUGUCUACGUCGCCGUCGUCAGAAAGUAAUUUGUCUCCAUCACCGAAGCCGGAAAUUCCGAAUCUACUUGUAGACAUGUCGAUUGCCGGAUAUGAAGAUCUUUUGGCCGGGCCGGUUAGAGAAUACUUACAAUUAAGUCAAAAAAUUGGUGGCGAUGUAGCCGUUCAUAGCAAGCUUGUGGAGAAGGCUUUUCAGAUUCAGUUUCAAUUUGUACAAAUGGCAGCGAGUCGUCCCGCACCGGCGAAUCAAUCCGAACAAAUAUCUUUAUUGACACCCAUGUCUGCACAAAUACAACAGAUUCAAGAAUUUCGCGAGAAAAAUCGUGGAUCCCCAUUCUUUAAUCACUUAUCGGCAAUUAGUGAAAGUAUCCCAGCUCUAGGAUGGGUUGCCGUGUCUCCUACGCCAGCUCCCUACGUAAAGGAAAUGAAUGACGCCGGUCAAUUUUACACUAAUCGUGUAUUAAAAGAUUGGAAAGAAAAAAACAAAAUACACAUAGACUGGUGUAAAGCGUGGGUGCAAACGUUGACCGAUUUACAACAGUAUGUUCGUCAACAUCAUACGACGGGUUUAGUAUGGGGAAAGCCUGCACCUGCUGGUGUACCUGGUGGUAUACCACCGCCUCCACCACCCUCGAUGCCAAUCGGAGAUAUUGCACCGGUAUUGAAUGACGACAGGAGCGCUCUUUUUGCUCAGAUUAAUCAGGGAGAAGAUAUCACGAAAGGUUUGAAAAAAGUAACUUCAGAUAUGCAAACACAUAAAAAUCCUGGUUUGAGGUCUGGGCCUGCACCAUUUAAAGCGCCAAUAGUUAACGCAGCAUCAAUGAAAACUGUGUUGCCGGCGAACGCGCCUAUUGAUAAGCCACCUGUAUUUACUAGAGAUGGCAAAAAAUGGCUCGUGGAGUAUCAUAAGGGUGAGAAUUUAGUAAUCGAUAACGUAGAGAUGAAUAACGUGAUUUACAUGUUUCGAUGCCAAGAUAGCACACUUACUAUCAAAGGCAAAGUAAAUUCUAUUGUUAUGGAUUCCUGUCGUAAAUCGUCUGUUGUAUUCGAUUCCCUGGUGUCCAGUAUCGAAUUCGUUAAUUGUCAAAGCGUACAAAUGCAGGUUCUCGGGAAGGUACCUACAAUUUCCAUUGAUAAAACGGACGGUUGUCAAAUGUAUUUAAGUAUGGAAUCCUUGGGUGUUGAACUUAUCACUAGCAAAUCUAGUGAAAUGAAUGUCAUGGUGCCCAAAGCCAAUGGAGAUUAUAGCGAGUAUCCAGUGCCGGAGCAAUUUAAAACUACUAUUAGCAAGAACGGUCUUAGCACCACGGCCGUCGAUUCCCUUGGUUAAAAGCACGAGGAAUUUAUUUAUAUGCAUAGCCUACGCAUCUUUUUAACAAAAUAAUUAAAGAUGGACAAGUUAUCGAGCCGCGGUAGCCAGCCCACGGUACGGAGUCAUAUCGCGUUUGCUGACUUCACGAGGAGAGCACACGAGGGAAGCGUCCAUGCAGGCGAUGCUCCUUCCGCGACCGAGACGCAAGACGAUCCGGAGCGAAGAAGAGGUGAAGCGCGGCGAGGUGAAGCCGCGGUAAGCGAGGCAAGCGGGACCACGUCCUUCCUACGUGACGGCUGACCACCAACUGACAAUCUGAGAUCUUGAAGGUACCGCCGUUCCUCAUCUUCGUUCUUCUUCCCGUUCAGCCGGGUUCUCUCACACGUCGUGCUUGGUAAGUAUAUGUAUAUAUAUAUAUAUAUAUAUAUUUGUCUUAUAUACAUAAAGCCGCCCUGACGAAUUCCCCACGCUGGCUUUACGUUAUUCCCACGGUUACGGUGUUUUACAUUUUAAAUCCGCGCCCCUCGUUGUGAAAACCCACGUUCGCAUGGCUCGUAACUGAUGCGGGCCGCGCGCUGAACGGAGCGAUGACAUAAACGAACGCCCUUCUUAUCUCGAAGAAGGUGCGAAAGUGUCCGACAUAUUUAUCAAGUCCAACUCAGUUUUACCGCAAUGUUUUCCCCUACAAAAGAAUGUGGCGAAAAAUCGUAGAGAGAAUAUAUAUACUGUAGACUUGAGAGGUGUGUGAUGCAUCGCCAAGGAGAUUUCAAUGCUCGCACAAAUCUUAUACCAUGUGCGUCGAGGAGUUUUAAUACAAACAUGUUCUUACGUAGGUCAUUGUAAUAAGCCAAACUUUUUUCUGUCCGCAUGUUUUUACAUAUUUUGUUUUAUUAAUUUAUUUAUUAAUGUGAUAGCAAUAUGAUAAUAUAAAAAAAGCAAUACGACGAAAGACGCAGAGAGAAAAGAAGAUAAUAAAAAUAAGGAAAUAAAUUUUUAACAUGUAAAGGUAAUUUCAUCUAGAGAAAUAAUACACUAUUAAUACAUCUAUCUUAUCGAAAAAUAA